CCUAACACAUGCAAGUCGAACGGCAGCAUAGGAGCUUGCUCCUGAUGGCGAGUGGCGAACGGGUGAGUAAUAUAUCGGAACGUGCCCUAGAGUGGGGGAUAACUAGUCGAAAGACUAGCUAAUACCGCAUACGAUCUACGGAUGAAAGUGGGGGAUCGCAAGACCUCAUGCUCCUGGAGCGGCCGAUAUCUGAUUAGCUAGUUGGUGGGGUAAAAGCCUACCAAGGCGACGAUCAGUAGCUGGUCUGAGAGGACGACCAGCCACACUGGGACUGAGACACGGCCCAGACUCCUACGGGAGGCAGCAGUGGGGAAUUUUGGACAAUGGGGGCAACCCUGAUCCAGCAAUGCCGCGUGAGUGAAGAAGGCCUUCGGGUUGUAAAGCUCUUUUGUCAGGGAAGAAACGGUAGUAGCUAAUAUCUAUUACUAAUGACGGUACCUGAAGAAUAAGCACCGGCUAACUACGUGCCAGCAGCCGCGGUAAUACGUAGGGUGCAAGCGUUAAUCGGAAUUACUGGGCGUAAAG
rnacentral:rRNA from 1 species